UAGUCCACGCCGUAAACGAUGUUCACUCGCUGUUUGCGAUAUACUGCAAGUGGCCAAGCGAAAGCAUUAAGCGAACCACCUGGGGAGUACGUUGGCAACAAUGAAACUCAAAGGAAUUGACGGGGACCCGCACAAGCGGUGGAACAUGUGGUUUAAUUCGAUGAUACGCGAGGAACCUUACCUGGACUUAAAUGUACGUUGCAUAGAGUAGAGAUAUUCUUUUCUUCGGACUACGUACAAGGUGCUGCAUGGUUGUCGUCAGCUCGUGCCGUGAGGUGUCGGGUUAAGUCCCGCAACGAGCGCAACCCCUAUCUUUAGUUGCCAGCACAUAAUGGUGGGGACUCUAAAGAGACUGCCAGCGCAAGCUGCGAGGAAGGAGGGGACGACGUCAAGUCAUCAUGGCCCUUACGCCUAGGGCUACACACGUGCUACAAUGGUGCAUACAGAGAGUCGCGAUCCGGCAACGGUCAGCCAAUCUCACAAAGUGC
rnacentral:rRNA from 1 species